rnacentral:rRNA from 1 species
GACGAACGCUGGCGGCGUGCCUAAUACAUGCAAGUAGAACGCUGAAGAGAGGAGCUUACUCUUCUUGGAUGCGUCGCGAACGGGUGAGUAACGCGUAGGUAACCUGCCUUGUAGCGGGGGAUAACUAUUGGAAACGAUAGCUAAUACCGCAUAACAAUGGAUGACACAUGUCAUUUAUUUGAAAGGGGCAAUUGCUCCACUACAAGAUGGACCUGCGUUGUAUUAGCUAGUAGGUGAGGUAAUGGCUCACCUAGGCGACGAUACAUAGCCGACCUGAGAGGGUGAUCGGCCACACUGGGACUGAGACACGGCCCAGACUCCUACGGGAGGCAGCAGUAGGGAAUCUUCGGCAAUGGGGGCAACCCUGACCGAGCAACGCCGCGUGAGUGAAGAAGGUUUUCGGAUCGUAAAGCUCUGUUGUAAGUCAAGAACGGGUGUGAGAGUGGAAAGUUCACACUGUGACGGUAGCUUACCAGAAAGGGACGGCUAACUACGUG